CCUACGGGCGGCAGCAGUGAGGAAUAUUGGUCAAUGGACGAGAGUCUGAACCAGCCAAGUAGCGUGAAGGAUGACUGCCCUAUGGGUUGUAAACUUCUUUUAUAAAGGAAUAAAACGAGGCACGUGUGCAUUUUUGCAUGUACUUUAUGAAUAAGGAUCGGCUAACUCCGUGCCAGCAGCCGCGGUAAUACGGAGGAUCCGAGCGUUAUCCGGAUUUAUUGGGUUUAAAGGGAGCGUAGAUGGGUUGUUAAGUCAGUUGUGAAAGUUUGCGGCUCAACCGUAAAAUUGCAAUUGAUACUGGCAGUCUUGAGUACAGUUGAGGUAGGCGGAAUUCGUGGUGUAGCGGUGAAAUGCUUAGAUAUCACGAAGAACUCCGAUUGCGAAGGCAGCCUGCUGGACUGUAACUGACGCUGAUGCUCGAAAGUGUGGGUAUCAAACAGGAUUAGAUACCCCAGUAGUC
rnacentral:rRNA from 1 species